rnacentral:rRNA from 1 species
AGAGUUGAUCUGGCUCAGGAUGAACGCUAGCGACAGGCCUAACACAUGCAAGUCGAGGGCAGCGCGGAGUAGCAAUACUUGGCGGCGACCGGCGCGACGGUGAGUAACACGUAUGCAACCAACCCAUAACAGGGGGAUAACCCGGAGAAAUCCGGACUAAUACCGCAUAAGACCACGAUAUCGCAUGAUAUAGAGGUCAAAUAUUUAUAGGUUAUGGACGGCAUGCGUCUGAUUAGCUGGUGGCGGGUAACGCCCACCAAGGCAUCGAUCAGUAGGGGUUCUGAGAGGAAGGUCCCCCACAUUGGAACUGAGACACGGUCCAAACUCCUACGGGAGGCAGCAGUGAGGAAUAUUGGUCAAUGGGCGAAAGCCUGAACCAGCCAUGUCGCGUGAAGGAAUGAAGGUCCUAUGGAUUGUAAACUUCUUUUGCAGGAGGGUAAAGUGAGCUACGUGUAGUUCAUUGCAAGUACCCUGCGAAUAAGCAUCGGCUAACUCCGUGCCAGCAGCCGC